rnacentral:rRNA from 1 species
CACGAAGGAUUGAUUGACGCUGAGGCACGAAAGCGUGGGGAUCGAACAGGAUUAGAUACCCUGGUAGUCCACGCAGUAAACGAUGAUGGCUAACCGCUGGGGCCUGCGCUUCAGUGGCCAAGCGAAAGCGAUAAGCCAUCCACCUGGGGAGUACGACCGCAAGGUUGAAACUCAAAGGAAUUGACGGGGGCCCGCACAAGCGGAGGAACAUGUGGUUUAAUUCGAUGAUACGCGAGGAACCUUACCCGGGCUCGAACGGCAGUUGAACGAAACAGAGAUGUUGAGGUCCUUUUGGACGGCUGUCGAGGUGCUGCAUGGUUGUCGUCAGCUCGUGUCGUGAGAUGUUGGCUCAAGUGCCAUAACGAGCGCAACCCUUGCUGUCAGUUACCAGCACGUCGAGGUGGGGACUCUGACAGGACUGCCACCGCAAGGUGUGAGGAAGGGGGGGAUGACGUCAAAUCAGCACGGCCCUUACGUCCGGGGCGACACACGUGUUACAAUGGCGGCCACAGAGGGGAUCGACCUGGUGACAGGGAGGGAAUCUCGAAAAGCCGUCUCAGUUCGGAUCGGAGUCUGCAACCCGACUCCGUGAAGCUGGAUU